GAUGAGGGACGACGUGCAGCGCCCCUGACUCCGCCGUGGAGCUCCAGGAGCCGAGGCGGGAGCACGCACGGCGCCUCACCGUGCUGCUGCUGGACAUCACCGACGAGAGCACCAUAGAGGCCGCAGCGGCCGCAAUUGGGGUGACCCACGAAUCUCUUGACUUACUGAUCAAUGCCGCCGGCAUCCUUUCGAUCCCAAAUGUUAUACAACCAGGUUGCUCUGAUCUCAUGUUGCAGAGAUCUCAUUGAGCAAAGUUCAGAAGUCAUUCCUGCUACUGGCAUAUGAAGUCAUCAAGUGACAAAGACUGCAUCAGUUGAGUUGGGCAAGAGGGACAACAUCGCCUGCAUUUUGCUACAUCCAGAAACAGUUGACACCGACCUCUCACGGCCAUUCCAAUGAAAUGUUGCCAAGGAUAAGAUCUUUAGGGAGCUCUUUGCACAGAAGUUACCAUCCAUCACCGACAAUGCCAGAAGACCGACAACGGGAAGUUCUUCGCUUGGGAUGGUCAAGAAAUCCCAUGGUGACCAUUGUUUUCAGUGAGGUACGACAAUGUUUGCACACGUCCGCGGAAUAUUCGACCUCGGUGUGGUGUAGCACAUGGCGAGGGCGAAGAUCUGGUCGGCACCCACACCAAGGGUGCCAUUGUAGAAGCUUCCAUUUUCGGCGGUUGCCGUGGUGAUGGUCUGCAGGAGGCGGUAAAGGUUCUUCUGGUCCAUCGCUGUAGUUGUCGGCAGUGGAGCACGAGAUCAGGGAUUGGUGGACAUCGUCCACAAGUGCGCCUACGACGAAUAGGAGUAGCAGAAGGUGGAAGCAUGGAGUUUGAACCAUGGCCGGCCAGUGGUGAAUUUUUUUGAAGGCCGGCCAGUGGUGACGUUUUUUUGAAGGCCGGCUAGUGGUGACGUUUUUUUGAAGGCCGGCUAGUGGUGACUUGGUCGACAGGAUAACGUAACACAGCCCUUGGCAAGGCUAAUUAUAUGAUAUGUUGGGAGUAACUAGGACUUUGGCACUAGCUCAGCAAAUAUUUUUUUUGAGGGAAAUAUACGAGCUCAGCAUUUGGUAGAUUCUAUUACCACAAUACAAAGACUCGUAGCUAUCUCCC